rnacentral:misc_RNA from 1 species
AACGCACAUUGCGCCAUUAGGUUCUCCUAAUGGCAUGCUUGUUGGAGCGCCGAUCUUUCUCUCAUACUACUUCAUUGUAGUACGAGGUUCUGCUCCUUUUAGGAGUCAAAAGAAUGGAAGUGCACACGUUAGAUAACUCUGUGCAGUUACUUACAAUCUUUUGGCCUCCAAUCAAGCAAGGCUACCCGCUGAACUUAA